rnacentral:rRNA from 1 species
UGGGGAAUAUUGCACAAUGGGCGGAAGCCUGAUGCAGCAACGCCGCGUGCGGGAUGACGGCCUUCGGGUUGUAAACCGCUUUCAGCAGGGACGAAGCGUGAGUGACGGUACCUGCAGAAGAAGCACCGGCUAACUACGUGCCAGCAGCCGCGGUGAUACGUAGGGUGCGAGCGUUGUCCGGAUUUAUUGGGCGUAAAGAGCUUGUAGGCGGUUGGUUGCGUCGAAAGUGCAAACUCAGGGCUUAACUCUGAGCCUGCUUUCGAUACGGGCUGACUGGAGGAAGGUAGGGGAGAAUGGAAUUCCCGGUGGAGCGGUGGAAUGCGCAGAUAUCGGGAGGAACACCAGUGGCGAAGGCGGUUCUCUGGACCUUUCCUGACGCUGAGAAGCGAAAGCGUGGGGAGCAAACAG